rnacentral:rRNA from 1 species
UACAGAGGUCUCAAGCGUUGUUCGGAUUCAUUGGGCGUAAAGGGUGUGUAGGUGGCGCGCUAAGUCGGGUGUGAAAUUUCGGAGCUUAACUCCGAAACUGCAUUCGAUACUGGCGUGCUUGAGGACUGGAGAGGAGACUGGAAUUCAUGGUGUAGCAGUGAAAUGCGUAGAGAUCCGGAAGAACACCGGUGGCGAAGGCGGCCUGCUGGGCAGUAGCUGACGCUGAAGCGCGACAGCGUGGGGAGCAAACAGG